rnacentral:rRNA from 1 species
UGGGGAAUAUUGCACAAUGGGCGCAAGCCUGAUGCAGCGACGCCGCGUGCGGGAUGGAGGCCUUCGGUUGUAACCGCUUUGUUCAAGGGCAAGGCACGGUCUUUGGCCGUGUUGAGUGGAUUGUUCGAAUAAGCACCGGCUAACUACGUGCC